AGGGUUUGAUCAUGGCUCAGAUUGAACGCUGGCGGUAUGCUUAACACAUGCAAGUCGAACGGAAACGAUACUAGCUUGCUAGUAGGCGUCGAGUGGCGGACGGGUGAGUAACGCGUAGGAAUCUGCCUGAUAGUGGGGGAUAGCCCGAAGAAAUUCGGAUUAAUACCGCAUAAUCUAUUCGUAGUAAAGUGGGGGACUUUCGAGCCUCACGCUAUCAGAUGAGCCUGCGUAAGAUUAGCUAGUUGGUAGGGUAAAAGCCUACCAAGGCUACGAUCUUUAGCUGGUCUGAGAGGAUGAUCAGCCACAUCGGGACUGAGACACGGCCCGAACUCCUACGGGAGGCAGCAGUGGGGAAUAUUGGACAAUGGGGGCAACCCUGAUCCAGCAAUACCGCGUGUGUGAAGAAGGCCUGAGGGUUGUAAAGCACUUUCAAUUGUGAAGAAAAGUUAACGGUUAAUAACCGUUAGCCUUGACGUUAACUUUAGAAGAAGCACCGGCUAACUCCGUGCCAGCAGCCGCGGUAAUACGGAGGGUGCAAGCGUUAAUCGGAAUUACUGGGCGUAAAGCGUACGUAGGCGGUUUAUUAAGUCAGAUGUGAAAGCCCCGGGCUUAACCUGGGAACUGCAUUUG
rnacentral:rRNA from 1 species